rnacentral:rRNA from 1 species
UUGAUAUUCCCGUACCGGCGCUGACGCGCCCGUGCUGAAUCCUUUCGUGCUAACCGUCCGAAGCCUGUGUCCCUUUCGAGGGGUGCGGGUGGAGCACGGGACCCCGGUUGGUAGUAGGCAAGCGACGGGGUGACGCAGGAGGGUAGUCCAGCCCAGGAGGUGGUUUUCCUGGGGUAAGGGUGUAGGGCGAGUCGUAGGCAAAUCCGCGACUCACGUGCCUGAGACCUGACGCGGAGCCGAUUGUGGUGAAGUGGAUGAUCCCAUGCUGCCGAGAAAAGCCUCUAGCGAGUGUCAGAGCCGCCCGUACCCUAAACCGACACAGGUGGUCAGGUAGAGAAUACCGAGGCGAUCGAGUGAACUGUGGUCAAGGAACUCGGCAAAAUGCCCCCGUAACUUCGGGAGAAGGGGGGCC